UCAUUCGGAGGAGAGUGAUUCAGACGAGAGGAAUGGUAAUAACAGAGGAAGAUCUCCAGUUAGGGAGCUUGGCUUAGGCGAUGGGGUAGGGUCCGGUGACAGUUGCGUUUUCCAACGGUGGAAUCGGUUUUGCAACAAGGGCAAAAGGAAUUCCGCAAUGGAAUCUUGAAGAAUCUUUGACGAAGAAAAGAAACCUUGACGCUUUGGAAGAAAAUUAGAAAGUCCAAAAAAAAAAGAAUCAACACCUUGUGAUGUCCAUGGAAUGUUGAAUUUUCCUUUAUUCUUUCCAACUUGUAAGACACUUAUUAUGUUUAGAUGUGUUGUAAGCUUAGACUUAGAAACUUGUAACUCUUUGGAGAUGUGAUUUGAAAUUGUGAGCGAACUUGUUUUCCUUGUAAAUUUGGAACUUGUAUGAAAACUUGAAUUCCUGUGAUAUUGAAGCUUGUAUGAAGAAAUUGGAUUCUUGAGAAUGAAACUUGGAAUGAUGUCUUCAAAAACAUGUUUGAAACUUUGAUGAAAUUUGUC